UCCUUGGGUGGCGAGUGGCGGACGGGUGAGGAAUACAUCGGAAUCUACUCUUUCGUGGGGGAUAACGUAGGGAAACUUACGCUAAUACCGCAUACGCCCUUCGGGGGAAAGCAGGGGAUCGCAAGACCUUGCGCGAUUGAAUGAGCCGAUGUCGGAUUAGCUAGUUGGCGGGGUAACGGCCCACCAAGGCGACGAUCCGUAGCUGGUCUGAGAGGAUGAUCAGCCACACUGGAACUGAGACACGGUCCAGACUCCUACGGGAGGCAGCAGUGGGGAAUAUUGGACAAUGGGCGCAAGCCUGAUCCAGCCAUACCGCGUGGGUGAAGAAGGCCUUCGGGUUGUAAAGCCCUUUUGUUGGGAAAGAAAAGCAUUCGGUUAAUACCCGAGUGUUCUGACGGUACCCAAAGAAUAAGCACCGGCUAACUUCGUGC
rnacentral:rRNA from 1 species